GCAAAAACACUUUAAUGGGUUUCAGAAAUUCAGAGGGUUUUGGGUGAUCCAUAUUACACAACACAGAGAUCAGAUUGAGAUUGAGAUUGAGAUUGAGAUUGAGAUGAGAACACCAAUCACACAUCAUCAACAAAACCCAACCAUUUUCAAAAUGCCUUCCGUCUAAAAUCAACUUCUUCUUCUUCUUAAUAAUGGAAACCUAGUACUGUAUGUAUUCUGUUUCUCCAUUUUGUGAAAGCUUUGAAAAUUCUCUGAUAAUUCUUUCCCGAUCUCACAUUUGCCUCCAAAUUCCAAAAAUUUGCCGAAAUUUCGAUUCUGCGGUGCCUCAUAGUGUUGAUCUUUGGGCAACAGGCUUUUCAGUUGAGGCUGGUGUGGUCAAGAUCAAGCAACACACAAAGAUUGUGUUUGUUUGACAAUGGAUAUUUGGUUGCUGAGAUUUUGCAUUUGAUAGAUACAUAUUUGGC